UUGGCUCUCGAUCUAGCUUGAUGGUUUGGUUUACUUGGUUCAGAGUAACCGAAGGCCACAGGUCAUAGGUUCGAGGGCCGUGAGAGAGAGCAGAGAGAGAAUGAAGCAAACAAAGAAAAACCAAAUGAGGUAUUCCAAAAUACCUCCCUUUUUGUGAUUUUCAGGUUAACACCUUUUGGCGCUCUCUUUCUCCUAACACUCGCAUUCUCCCCUUGCCCAGCACGGAGAGCAAUAAUCAACGGCAAUGGCAAUAUUAUCACACUCUUUACACCAAUGUCAAAACUGGUAAUGCAAAAAACUUUCUUUCCCGACUUUUGAUUCUGUCCUCGAAUCUCUUCCCGCUUGUUCGAUUUCUAGGCUUUUCUCCGCCAAUCUGCCUUUCCAUUUGUUAACUCACUUCGAAAAUUUCUUCGUAAUCUCUCUUCUUCUUCUUCUUCGAAUUUUUGUUUCAUUAAUUAUAUAUACUUCAAUUUAUUAAGUGGUGGUUGAAUAAAUAAAGAGAAGAUCCAAAGACUAGUGUACGAGAUGAGCAAAGGAUCAAAACUUUUCUGAAAGGAAGAGUGAAAAGAGGUAUUUAUUCGCCAAAAAAUUGAACGUGUGCGAGGAGCUCGAGUUGCAAAGAAUACUGGUUUUUAAAGUUUAGAACUAAUUACAUAAUUUGUUCCUUCUUCAUGUUGUGGAUUAAAGGAUUUUAGAGCUUGAAACUACACUUGAGCUUUCCAUGAUUUGGUACAUGUAGAUAUGGAUGCGUUUUAGGCUGCUGAUGAAACUUUUGAGUAAUCCUUCAUUGAAGGUGGAAGAUUGCUGAUUGAUGGCCAAAAAAACAAGACUGCUGAUUGUAUAGCGUGUACCCAACCUCCCCCAAAACAAGCAUUACGAAGAAGAUUCUUCUGCCGAGUGGGAGCCUGGAGACUGCAAUCCUGAUGGAACAAAUAAAGAACUUAGCACCUCACUAUCUCAGGGAAUGAGGAAUCUUUUUCAUCAAAUCACAAGUUUUGUUGGAGAAAACCAAAAGCACUCCGGUUUCAUUUUGCGGAGAGGGUUCAGUCGGAGGAAUCUGGCACAGAUUCGAGCCCUUUGAUGCCAAGGCAAAGAUACUACAAGUUGAUGUGUAUAAUAUAAGCAGAAUGCAUUCAGGGCUGAUAAUUUGCAUGAACUUUGAUAUAAUAUUUCUUCUUAAGUUUA